rnacentral:piRNA from 1 species
UAGAAACACGUUCAGUCCCAACCAACCCCAG